rnacentral:rRNA from 1 species
CCCUUAGAUGUUCUGGGCCGCACGCGCGCUACACUGAUGCAUGCAACAAGUCUUUUCCUUGGCCGAGAGGCCUGGGCAAUCUUUGAAUAUGCAUCGUGAUGGGGAUAGACGAUUGCAAUUAUUCGUCUUCAACGAGGAAUUCCUAGUAAACGCAAGUCAUCAGCUUGCAUUGAUUACGUCCCUGCCCUUUGUACACACCGCCCGUCGCACCUACCGAUUGAAUGGUCCGGUGAAGGCUUCGGAGGCGGCUUUCUCAAUGUUUAUUCGGCGAGACUGCUGCCAAAGUUGAAUGAACCUUACCAUUUAGAGGAAGGUGAANUCGUAACA